ACGGGAGUGCCCUUCGGGGAACGUUGAGACAGGUGGUGCAUGGUUGUCGUCAGCUCGUGUCGUGAGAUGUUGGGUUAAGUCCCGCAACGAGCGCAACCCUUGUGAUUAGUUGCUACGCAAGAGCACUCUAAUCAGACUGCCGUUGACAAAACGGAGGAAGGUGGGGAUGACGUCAAAUCAUCAUGCCCCUUAUGUCUAGGGCUACACACGUGCUACAAUGGUGGGAACAAAGAGAUGCAAUACCGCAAGGUGGAGCCAAACUCCAAAACCCAUCCCAGUUCGGAUUGUAGGCUGAAACUCGCCUACAUGAAGCUGGAGUUGCUAGUAAUCGCGAAUCAGAAUGUCGCGGUGAAUACGUUCCGGGCCUUGUACACACCGCCCGUCACACCAUGAGAGUCGGCAACACCCGAAGCCCGUGAGGUAACCUUUUGGAACCAGCGGUCGAAGGUGGGGUUGAUGAUUGGGGUGAAGUCGUAACAAGGUAGCCGUAGGAGAACCUGCGGCU
rnacentral:rRNA from 1 species